rnacentral:sRNA from 1 species
UUUCAAAUAUGAUAAACAUUUGAAAUUUAUUGGAAAAUGACAAUAAUUUUUAAUUUUACGAGACAGGAUUAUAUGGUGGGACGGGUUUGGAUUAAUAUUAAUAUGGGUUAAUAUAUACUAUGAGUGAAAUCCUAGAAUUUACAAUCAAAAUACAAU